UUACGGCCAUAUCGUGUUGAGUUGAAAUACCCGUUCUCAUACGAUCACCGAAGUUAAGCAACGUCAUGCAUCGUCUGUAACUACAUGGGUGACAGCUUGAGAAUAUCACGUAUUGUAA